GGAGCACCCAGCCCAGGCAGUAUCCAGGCUGGUGAGCUUAUCACAGAGACAUCGCCGAGCUGGCACUGGGGAAGCCAACUGGCGACAUUGGACCACGCCCGGCGAGCCGCCGUGGCCAGUGGGGCUCGACCCGAGAUUAACCACACCACUCUUCGUACAAUAAAGUUUAUUCAUCAUCAUCAUGUGGUUACCCCCCCCCUGCACGGCUGGCGCCGCGGAUACAUGUAGGCGAGCGCCAUCUGGUAGUGCUAUCUCUGCCUCAAAUCUACACAGACAACCAAGCUUAAUGGCGAGAUGCUGCUACAGCAUUAAUCUUGCAAGAGCUGGCUCAUCUCAACGCAAGUACCACACCCAGUCAUUUCUGGAGAAUGCCACUAAUUCGUUCCAUCGACAUCACUCCAACACUACAUCGUCAUCAUAUGGUCAUUGUAAUGCCAUGAUGGUCAUGGCUGAUACUAGCGAGCGAGUUUCAUAGUAAAGAGGGCCGAUCCAGAAGACAGUGUAUGUCACACAUAGCUAAAGCAAUGAAACUUUCAAAAUGACCACUACAGAUUCUAAAUAAAGCUGUUUCAGCAAUACUAGGUGUCGCUACGUUUAUUCAAACCUAAUAGCAUUAACAUUGACAGAUGGGAAUGCUAUUAUGUCAGAAUACAUUACAUGGCUUAUUUACAGGCAUAUCAAAAUAUAUGUAAUAUUGUUUGCAAAUGAACGUACGAUCAACUGAGGAGCUUGCAAAUGAAGAACUGCUUUCAGUUGUCUUGUGCACCAUGACAAUGACUGUAAUGAACAAAGGAACAGCGUGUCCUCAGAUGCGCAUAGCGUCAAGUUAUAGUUCAAUUUGCUGAU